rnacentral:piRNA from 1 species
UACUCAGGAUCUCGAGGGAAGCCCCUCC